GAUGAAGAACGCAGUGAAAUGCGAUAAGUAAUGUGAAUUGCAGAAUUCAGUGAACCAUCGAAUCUUUGAACGCACAUUGCGCCCGGCAGUAAUCUGCCGGGCAUGCCUGUCCGAGCGUCAUUUCUCCCCUCGAGCGCAGCUUUCCCCCCCGGGGGAGGGCCGCGCCCGGUGUUGGGGCGCUACGGAGGAGCCCAGCGCUCCCCCGUAGGCCCCGAAAUGUAGUGGCGGUCCCGCCGCGGCGCCCCCUGCGUAGUAGUUUUACAACUCGCAUCGGGUCCCGGCGGAGGCCAGCCGUCAAACCCCCCAACUUCAAUAGUUUGACCUCGGAUCAGGUAGGGUUACCCGCUGAACUUAAGCAUAUCAAUAAGCGGAGGA
rnacentral:misc_RNA from 1 species